GCCCCAAGGGACCCUCAAUAGAGAGUUCACAGGCCAGGUUGGACAGGUCUCAGAAAUGGCCUGUUUAGGGCAUCAUCUCUUUCUGCAACUCCUGCUCUGCUCAAAAGGGUCAAGAUUGGGUUGUUGAAGCUUCCUGCACAGGGAGGAAAGGGUAUGGGAAUGGCCAGGUGCUGAGAGACUCAGUUGAGGUGAGGACCCCAGCCCAGGCUGCAAGGUGCUACCUUCUGCCUGCUUCACAUCAAAUGCAUCUAUAUUUCUGGGUGCAUCACAGAGAACACCACUGCUCUCCAGUGUCCUCACUUUGGAACUCUCAACUGAACUUCUGGGUUGCACCUCCAGCUCUCUUCACUUUCUGUGAUUUGGGACUGUUCUGUCUGUACAAAUGCAAAUCAUGAGACUCCCCUUGGGGGAGAAGAGAGAGUCAGAGAGUCAGACUGUCAUGCCCAGAGAGUGGCUGGCUCCUACCCCCGGAAAUGGGCCUCUUACUGUGACUGCCCUGGGGCCAGCCGAACAGCUGCGUUGGCCGAGCAGGAAGUGGUGAACAGGCUGGACCCUGUUCCAGCACGUUGUGGGGGAAAGAAAGAAAAAAGAAAAAAAAAGUUCCAUCAGAGAAACUGCACGCUAGCUUAGGCCAAGGCUGAUCACUGACCUCCUGUGUGGUACAAUCGAUCUGGACCAACCACUUCCCCCUUAUUCUUCCCCGUAUGGGAAAGUCGGUGCAGGUGCGCAGGGCCACACAAAGCAGCUUGGGAGAUAGCAGCCCAGGAAAAAUAAUUCCACCUGUAAACACCUGUGUUAACAAGUGCUGUAUUUGUUCAGCUAUUUUCUUUUUCAAACACUGUUUACACACACCUAUUCUCUUACCUCGGUCAGGUGUGUCUUGCAUGGCAUCUGGGGACCCACUGGCAGGAGUCCAGGGUGCCUCAGAAAUGCCUGUGUCCUCUGCCCAGCAAUGUAGGGCUGGGACUGCCAGGCUCUCAGCUGGAGUGCCAGUGCUGCUGGGUCAGCCUCUUGGAAUGCUUUCAGGUCCCUAGGUGCUUAAGGUUGGGAGACUUCACGUGACCAGAAGGGCCUGUCCGGGGGACAGUGACCCCAGCUGGAUGAAAGAGCGCACCUGCUGGCCCAGGUCACUUUGCAUUUUCACACCCUGAGGAAAUUUGAACCCUUGGCCCACCCUUACACCAAUGGCUAGAUAGAGAUGCCCUUCUUAGUGGGCAGGGAGUCAGUGGCUGUUUAGGUCAGCGCUCUGGCAUCCUACUGCGACUCCUAGAGUUCUUCCUGAUUCCCUUUGACUCCAGGAAGGAUCCUUUUAGCAUCCUGACACUCAGG
rnacentral:lncRNA from 1 species